rnacentral:rRNA from 1 species
GACGAACGCUGGCGGCGUGCUUAACACAUGCAAGUCGAACGAAGUGGCGAACGGGUGAGUAACGAGUAAUCAACCUGCUCUUCAGAGGGGGACAACAGUUGGAAACGACGGCUAAUACCGCAUACUGAAGGAGGGGAUGGCGGCUGAUUGGCGAGCCGGAGGGGUAAAGGCCCACCAAGGCGAUGAUCAGUAGCCGGUCUGUGAGGAUUAACGGCCACAUUGGGACUGAGACACGGCCCAGACUCCUACGGGAGGCAGCAGUGGGGAAUCUUCCGCAAUUGACGAAAGUCUGACGGAGCAACGCCGCGUGAGUGAUGACGGCCUUCGGGUUGUAAAGCUCUGUUAAUCGGGACGCGGUACCGGAAUAGAAAGCCACGGCUAACUACGUGCCAGCAGCCGCGGUAAUAC